UCCAUACAUAAUAAGAGUUUUCUUAACCGUAAUAGCAACAAUUAUUUAUACUUCUUAUAUAAGAAUCAAUCUGGACAUUAGAUACCUCAGAACUAAGAAGAAUGCCAGCCGAUGAGACUGACCAGAAGUGAAGUACAGAAGAGCAGGAAAUUGCAUGUACCUAGGUACUUCGUUCACUACGUUCACUACGUACCUCUCCCGUAGGUCGAAUGAGUUUCA
rnacentral:lncRNA from 1 species